UAUUUUUGAUUAUAUAUCUUUUGUAAUUCGAUGGACGUAUGGUUGAUAUAGCCUGUUCAACAAAACAAGAGAAGAAGAAGAAGAAGAUUCUUUUGUAUCUUGUUAGUGUUAUUCAAUAGUAUGUACUAUGAACAUUAGAUCCACGCAAGAAACAGAGUGCAGUUUAAGAUAACAGAGCUGAGAAGACACUAUGUGGGUCUGAAUGUCACAUUAAAAUGGAGAUUACAAGUUAUUCGUCGUCUGAACUUAAUUUUUAUGUGACGUUUACACCAACGAUGAGUCAGGGUGUUUAACGCCUGGAAAAAAAAACAAUACAACACAACAAUAUCGCACGCUAACCUGUGGGGCUAAUAGCGGUCUCGAUCAACUAGAUUAGUUGAGAGAAUUCGUUAUCGAUAUUGUUUUUGGCAAAUUUCGCAUAUUUUCAUCGAACUCGGGACGUGUAUUAAAUCUCGGAGCAGAACAACCGGCGGAAUUUUGGGACAUAGAACGGGAGGUUUCUCUUUUCUGGUGAGACGAACUGGAGUAGACCUAGGCUGACCGGAUUUUCUCGGGACAAAUGGGUUCAUAAAAACGGGACGCAUGAUAAGAUUGAUUUUUGAAAAUUUUUACUAACCAAAGCAUGCAAAUAAUUAUUCAUUGCUUUGAUGUACCUACCCGAUCAUGUACGAUACUUUUUUUUCUUCAUCUAUAUGUAUGUACGAUACUUGGCAUUUGAAAAAAAAAAUAGUGUAGAAGAGUGUGAUUUAAACGUCCUUAAAAUUGGUCACAUGGAUGAUCGAGACUAACAAUUCUCAUGUUCUCAAGUUUCAAUCGCGACUUUUUUUUUCAGUUCACGAUAGUUGAUAGUAUGUCCUUUCCAUUAUUUCGGUGUUGGCCCAAAAUGUACUCAGUAAUAUUAAUAAAAACCCGGGCUACUUGGGAACUUCUUUUCGCUUUAGGAUAAUUUCAA